GAUGAACGCUAGCGGCAGGCUUAAUACAUGCAAGUCGAGGGGCAGCAGGGUGUAGCAAUACAUCGCUGGCGACCGGCAAACGGGUGCGGAACACGUACACAACUUUCCUUUAAGUGGGGGAUAGCCCAGAGAAAUUUGGAUUAAUACCCCGUAACAUUAUGAAAUGGCAUCAUUUUAUAAUUAUAGCUCCGGCGCUUAAAGAUGGGUGUGCGGCUGAUUAGGUAGUUGGCGGGGAACGGCCCGCCAAGCCUACGAUCAGUAACUGGUGUGAGAGCACGACCAGUCACACGGGGCACUGAGACACGGGCCCGACUCCUACGGGAGGCAGCAGUAAGGAAUAUUGGUCAAUGGACGCAAGUCUGAACCAGCCAUGCCGCGUGAAGGAUGAAGGUCCUCUGGGAUUGUAAACUUCUUUUAUUUGGGUAAGAAACCCAUAUUUUCUAAUGUGGUUGACGGUACCAGAUGAAU
rnacentral:rRNA from 1 species